UUAGCAUGGAAUAAUAAAAUAGGACGUGUGGUUCUAUUUUGUUGGUUUCUAGGACCGCCGUAAUGAUUAAUAGGGACAGUCGGGGGCAUCAGUAUUCAAUUGUCAGAGGUGAAAUUCUUGGAUUUAUUGAAGACUAACUACUGCGAAAGCAUUUGCCAAGGAUGUUUUCAUUAAUCAGGGACGAAAGUUAGGGGAUCGAAGACGAUCAGAUACCGUCGUAGUCUUAACCAUAAACUAUGCCGACUAGGGAUCGGACGGUGUUAUUUUUUGACCCGUUCGGCACCUUACGAGAAAUCAAAGUGCUUGGGCUCCAGGGGGAGUAUGGUCGCAAGGCCGAAACUUAAAGAAAUUGACGGAAGGGCACCACCAGGGGUGGAGCCCGCGGCUUAAUUUGACUCAACACGGGGAAACUCACCAGGUCCAGACACAAUGAGGAUUGACAGAUUGAGAGCUCUUUCUUGAUUUUGUGGGUGGUGGUGCAUGGCCGUUCUUAGUUGGUGGAGUGAUUUGUCUGCUUAAUUGCGAUAACGAACGAGACCUUAACCUGCUAAAUAGCCCGUAUUGCUUUGGCAGUACGCUGGCUUCUUAGAGGGACUAUCGGCUCAAGCCGAUGGAAGUUUGAGGCAAUAACAGGUCUGUGAUGCCCUUAGAUGUUCUGGGCCGCACGCGCGCUACACUGACGGAGCCAGCGAGUACUUCCUUGUCCGAAAGGUCCGGGUAAUCUUGUUAAACUCCGUCGUGCUGGGGAUAGAGCAUUGCAAU
rnacentral:rRNA from 1 species